rnacentral:lncRNA from 1 species
AAAAUAUUAUUAUUUCUCAUCUUUUUGCACUCAUGGGCUAAGAGCUUCUCAAACCCCAAGGGCUCUGCUCACAAUCACCAAACGAAGGAAAAAGCAGCUGGAAAUGCAGCCCGGAGAUGUGUUCCCAGGAGUUGAGACUCUGGCUCCCGUAGAUUGCACCUCACACACGCACACCCUGUCUGUCUGUGUGCAUUUAGAGCACGUUCUCAAGAUCGAGUCUGAUUCUCACAACGACCCCAAGUAACCACAAUGACAAGUGUGAUGAGUUUCCCACAGUUCACAGAACAAGAUGGGAAGAAUGGUCCAGAAUCAUCCCACAGAAAUCCUUUCUUCGUGAUGUGCAAUGGAUGCUAUCAUUUCAGUCACCAUGAUGUCGAAGUGGGAAUCGAUAUUUGAGGGGAGGGAAAUAUCCCAACCCUGACCAUCUACUGAACAAUGACUCACCAAUAGCUGCACAACAGUCAGGACAGAGCACAUGUCCGGAAAAUUUCAUUUUAAUUUGCCUCAGCUGGGACUACAGUUACUGUUUGAAAGAAAGAACAAUCAACAAAGUACCUAGGAAAGAAGACAUCUUGCAACACUCUUCAAUUUCUUCUUAAAUGCUUGGGGGAAACGUGAAAAAUUUUGAUAAAUAGGAAAACAAAAUUGUUGGCAAUAAAAUUAAUAAACAGCUUAUAUUUU